GUGUGUGUGUGUGUGUGUGUGUGUGUGUGUGUGUGUGUGUGUGUGUGUGUGUGUGUAUGAUCAUGUGUGAGUGCAUACGUACACGCUUGUGUGGGGGCAAUACACCAUUACAGGUCACAUGGCGUGGGAGAGAGGGGUCACAGAGGUCACUUCCUGUUCCUUGUUAAAGAGGUGCAUACAGGGAAAUAAGGGGACAAAGCAGAAACAUGAAGGACUGGUGUAGUACAGGGACAUAAAGAGUCUUUUCACUGGACCACAACGUCUGAUCUUCUCAUUCUCUCACAGGAAUGAGCUUUCUUCCCAGCCAUUCCCAGGCGUUCUAUAGUUGCUAUGGUGCCAAGCGGCAGCCUAGGCAGAGAAAUCAACGACCCAAGAGGAAGCUAUGUAAGUAGAGUUGGCAGUGUGCCAGGGGUUUCAUUGCUCAGGAGGAUACUUCUGAAGUAAGGACUGAGUGAGCUGUACUCUUUGGGGAGCAAACUUCACCACAGAGUCUCAAUAUAGGGAAGACAGCAGAGAGGCUUGGAUGACAUGGAGCUGCCUGCCUGCCUGCCUGCCUGCCUGCCUGCCUGCCUGCCUGCCUGCCUGCCUGCCUGCCUGCCUGCCUGCCUGCCUGCCUGCCUGCCUGCCACCACCUCCGACCACCAUCUCUGCUGACCAUCUACCUAUGAGCUUCCAGAUCCUCUCAUGACCGUGGCUGCCCAUCUGGAAGCUUCAAGAAGUACUCAGACAGACUUGAUCUAGCUGAUCUAGCUACUGUUGUAGCCUGUAUUUUCCUCAACAUUUAAACAUUUCGAUUUUAUGGGAACGUCUUAAUAAUCUAAAUGUGUUUCUUGUAUGUGUUACUGCAAUUCAGCUUUAAGCUGCCAUAGUACACAUGAAAUUAAAUUCAAAUAUACCAUUAUCAUCAUCAUUCCUUGCUUGGAAAACAUAUGUUGUUUUAAUAACAAUAAAAUCUUACUUCUGAUCUUUAUGUAAUUAUCCAGAUAAGUUCACAAAUGUACUAUGGCCAAGAUUCAAAUAAAGGUGUGUUGUGGAUGCACUGUCUACAA